rnacentral:rRNA from 1 species
UAACAGCUAUUAAAGGAGGGGACCUUCGGGCCUUCCACCUGAAGAUGAGUCCGCGGCCCAUUAGCUUGUUGGUGGGGUAACGGCCUACCAAGGCAACGAUGGGUAGCCGGCCUGAGAGGGCGAUCGGCCACAUUGGGACUGAGAUACGGCCCAAACUCCUACGGGAGGCAGCAGUUAAGAAUCUUGCGCAAUGGGCGAAAGCCUGACGCAGCGACGCCGCGUGGACGAUGAAGGCCUUAGGGUUGUAAAGUCCAUUAUGCAGGGAAGAAUAAGCAGGUUACAACAUGGCCUGUGAUGACGGUACCUGCUGAAAGCCUCGGCUAACUACGUGCCAGCAGCCGCGGUAACACGUAUGAGGUAAGCGUUGUUCGGAAUUAUUGGGCGUAAAGGGCGUGUAGGCGGGGAACUAAGUUAGAUGUGAAAGCCAUGGGCUCAACCCGUGAAUUGCAUCUAAUACUGGUUCUCUUGAGUUCGGGAGAGGAGAGCGGAAUUCCCGGUGUAGCGGUGAAAUGCGUAGAUAUCGGGAAGAACACCAGUGGCGAAGGCGGCUCUCUGGCCUAUAACUGACGCUAAGGCGCGAAAGCGUGGGGAGCGAACGGGAUUAGAUACCCCGGUAGUCCACGCCGUAAACGUUGUAUACUAGGUGUUAGUGGAUUUAUUCACUAGUGCCGAAGCUAACGCAUUAAGUAUACCGCCUGGGGAGUACACUCGCAAGGGUGAAACUCAAAGAAAUUGACGGGGGCCCGCACAAGCGGUGGAUCAUGUGGUUUAAUUCGAUGAUACGCGAAGAACCUUACCUGGGCUUGAACUGUACCUGACAGGUGUAGAGAUACACCCUCCUUCGGGCAGGUAUAGACGUGCUGCAUGGUUGUCGUCAGCUCGUGUCGUGAGAUGUUGGGUUAAGUCCCGCAACGAGCGCAACCCUUACUCCUUGUUGCUAGCAGGUUAAGCUGAGCACUCUAGGGGGACUGCCGGUUAUAAACCGGAGGAAGGUGAGGAUGACGUCAAAUCAGCACGGCCUUUAUGUCCAGGGCUACACACGUGAUACAAUGGUCGGUACAAAGAGUUGCGAGACCGCGAGGUGGAGCUAAUCUCAAAAAAACCGACCUCAGUUCGGAUUGCAGUCUGCAACUCGACUGCAUGAAGUUGGAAUCGCUAGUAAUCGCAGAUCAGCACGCUGCGGUGAAUACGUUCCCGGGCCUUGUACACU